rnacentral:rRNA from 1 species
CGCCUGGGGAGUACGGCCGCAAGGUUAAAACUCAAAUGAAUUGACGGGGGCCCGCACAAGCGGUGGAGCAUGUGGUUUAAUUCGAUGCAACGCGAAGAACCUUACCUGGUCUUGACAUCCACGGAAGUUUUCAGAGAUGAGAAUGUGCCUUCGGGAACCGUGAGACAGGUGCUGCAUGGCUGUCGUCAGCUCGUGUUGUGAAAUGUUGGGUUAAGUCCCGCAACGAGCGCAACCCUUAUCCUUUGUUGCCAGCGGUCCGGCCGGGAACUCAAAGGAGACUGCCAGUGAUAAACUGGAGGAAGGUGGGGAUGACGUCAAGUCAUCAUGGCCCUUACGACCAGGGCUACACACGUGCUACAAUGGCGCAUACAAAGAGAAGCGACCUCGCGAGAGCAAGCGGACCUCAUAAAGUGCGUCGUAGUCCGGAUUGGAGUCUGCAACUCGACUCCAUGAAGUCGGAAUCGCUAGUAAUCGUGGAUCAGAAUGCCACGGUGAAUACGUUCCCGGGCCUUGUACACACCGCCCGUCACACCAUGGGAGUGGGUUGCAAAAGAAGUAGGUAGCUUAACCUUCGGGAGGGCGCUUACCACUUUGUGAUUCAUGACUGGGGUGAAGUCGUAACAAGGUAACCGUAGGGGAACCUGCGGUUGGA